CGUUCACACAGAUGCCUCAAUGUUUGGACUGGGAGCAGUAUUAAGCCAGGUUGGGGACGAUGGCAUGGACUAUCCGGUGGCAUAUCUGAGCAGAAAACUGUUACCCUGCAAAGUCAGUUAUGCCACUGUUGAAAAGGAGUGUUUGGCCUUAGUUUGGGCCCUUAAGAAGCUACAGCCUUACCUCUAUGGACGCUCUUUCACAGUGAUGACAGACCAAAACCCCCGAUUUGGCUGAACAGAGUGACCGGAGACAACCCCACACUACUAAGAUGGACUGUCAUCCGGACAUCCC